rnacentral:lncRNA from 1 species
GAUUAUAAGUAAUGCGUAAAUACAUCCACCAGAGGGAGCCAGACCGGUGUAGGCCUUUGUUGAAGAGUUUUACGCUGUUGUAUCCCAAAAAUAAUUGAGGUUAGUCAGAGACGCCUUCAGUCAGAUGAUGACAUAACACCUGAAAUUUCCAGAAAGACAAGGAAAACAUCAGUGUAAUCUCAAGGGAGGAAACGUCACAGUAAUCACAUACAGAUUUAAAAAGGUAUGCAUUCAUGUUUUGUUGGUUUUAAUCCCCACAUUACAUCCUACGUGUGAUUCAUCAGCUGAUCUGUUCUGUAUCUGUGACAGGCACACGUACUCUGGCUGAGGUAAGACAGAAAAGCUAAUGAAGUAAGAGUGCUGCUGAUGCUCAGUCGGAUCUGAUUCACUGAUGCUAAAUGGCUGGUAUUGAUCCAUUACUGGCAGUGAUGAUCACCAAGUGGAUGCAGAUGGUGGAGAGAGCAGCUCUCAGGUCUUUUCUCUAAUGUUCAUCCUGCUGCUUUGGCUGAGGAGGAUUCUAGCAUUGCAUUACUGCCCGAUUCAUGGAGAUGAAAUCUGCUGUUUGUCCUGAGGAAUGGGAUUGUGAACAUGGAUCUGACAUUAACAGAAAAACCUGAUGUGUUUAAAGAGAUGGGAAGGAAUUGGAUGGGCACGUGGCUUCAUUUGCCAUCACAAAUAUUUCAAGACAACCCACAUGACUACAGUAAGAUUCCUGAUGCAG